rnacentral:lncRNA from 1 species
CCUGGGUUCAAUGCUCAGCACUAUAAAAAAAUAAUAAUAUGAUACAGAAAGUAACAGAAGUCAUUGUUAUUUGACACGCAGAGAAGUUCAAGGUACACUCAUAUCUGAAAUAGGUAAGAAGGUGAUCACUCAUCUCCAAAUCUCACAUCUAGUGCUCCUGUGGUCUCAGGCCUUUAGGGCUAUUAUAAACCUCAGAAAUGGGGUUGAAAGAGCUCUAAUUUUUACUUAAUUUAGGUCAGUGUUGGGCUAGGCCCCAAAAUGGCUGUAGUUAGGUUACCUAGCUGAGACUUCCGGCAAGCUGUUAUGUUUCUAAUGUGCAGCUAGGGCUAGAAACCAAUUAUGUUAUGUUAAGUCAAGGCCAGAAACACUCUGAUUCAGCUUUUAUACUCAAGGUCAUAAACAUUAACUUAUGAGCAUGAGUCCUGCUCCCCUCCAUCCCCAUGUAACCUGUUGGCAGUGUGCCUUCUUUGAUUUGCAUAUAUAAAAAGGGCCUAUGGGAAAGACUCAGGGUGAACUGGGCUAAUGGGGGUAAAAAUGGGGGCUGAAGCUGAAGCUGCAGACUGUGGCCAUCGCUAAAUAAAACCAAGCAUUUGUUCUGUUGCUAGGCAAUGCGGAGGAGGCGGGGCCCACGGAAGACCAGCGGGGUUUGGCCCCAAAGGGGCACGGGCCGCCGGACUGGCGGCCGCGCAGCCGCCCUUCCGCUUGGAGAGGCGCGCUCAGAUCUACACCACGCCCCGCCCCCACCCACAAGCCGGAGCUGCGCAAGCCAGGUG